AUUGAACGCUGGCGGCAGGCCUAACACAUGCAAGUCGAGCGGAUGAAGGGAGCUUGCUCCUGGAUUCAGCGGCGGACGGGUGAGUAAUGCCUAUGAAUCUGCCUGUUAGUGGGGGAUAACGUCCGGAAACGGGCGCUAAUACCGCAUACGUCCUGAGGGAGAAAGUGGGGGAUCUUCGGACCUCACGCUAUCAGAUGAGCCUAGGUCGGAUUAGCUAGUUGGUGGGGUAAAGGCCUACCAAGGCGACGAUCCGUAACUGGUCUGAGAGGAUGAUCAGUCACACUGGAACUGAGACACGGUCCAGACUCCUACGGGAGGCAGCAGUGGGGAAUAUUGGACAAUGGGCGAAAGCCUGAUCCAGCCAUGCCGCGUGUGUGAAGAAGGUCUUCGGAUUGUAAAGCACUUUAAGUUGGGAGGAAGGGCAGUAAGUUAAUACCUUGCUGUUUUGACGUUACCAACAGAAUAAGCACCGGCUAACUUCGUG
rnacentral:rRNA from 1 species